ensembl:lncRNA
UUGACCUCUCGAUGCUUUCACCUCCUCUGCCAAAUACUUUGUUUCUGCAUCAAGAGAGAGGAGCAAAACCACUGUGGGGGGAAAACAGCAGUUAAGGCUCUUCAGUGAACAAGACUGCAGGCUUAGUCCCAAACGUGGUAAACAUAGAUCUAGAAGAAACCCAAGGAACUUGAUAAAAGAUCCUGCACUCCAAGACCAUUUCUGAGAAAUGUUGAUCCAUACUUAUCAACUCUGAAUCAUCAUUUCUUUCAAAGACUGCAGUCCUCCAGGCUGCUUCUGCAGAUUCUCUUUCUUCAGUGGGCUGUCCUGAAUUUCUUGGAACUACAGUGACAAGAUGGAGAGCAGGUGCUCAACCAAUCUGUCUGUCUUUGUUGUCCUACCUCCAGUUUUCAUCUCAAGACACUCCACAUGACUGUUAAGGAAGUGUCACACAGAUUAAAAUGUGAAAAAACCUUUAAUUUGGAACAAGCCAGCCCUGCUGCAUCCUCCCUCUCUGCUUAUGUUUAUUUCCUCUGAAAUGAAAACUAAUAUGCCAAAAAUUUUUUUCAUUUCUGCCAACAGUUUAUGGGCUGGUUCGGCCCAGUUCAGUGACUAGCAGAGCAGAGGGAUUCAAGAAUCUGCACCUCCGGAACGGAGAAACAGAGGACCCCGAAUAAUUAAAAACAGUGGUAGCAAUCUGAGGAGAAACAAACUACUUUACUAAAUAUGGUAUCGGAAUGCAAGAUAACACACUAUAAUGCAAUAUAAUAAGAAUUGAAACUAGUGAAUCAAAUACAAUGAGAGAGAAAGUAUCUGACCUUACAUCAUACCUGAAAACAUAGCCAGUGAGCAUUAUCAAUUGUAAUAAAUUUGAAGUUCAAAAUUUUUUCUUUACGUUCAUAUGACAUCAAAUGCAGAGCUUCACUAUUUCCAUGCAUCUAGCCCUUACUGCUGACAGUUUUGUUACAGAAGCAUACUGUUGUUUCACUUGAAAGACAUCUUUUUUUGCAUUGCCUUGCAUUCAGUGCAAAUAUCUCACUUUCAAGAUCACAUUAAACAGAAUAAUGAUCAGCCAUUCCCAGAAGUAUUGUUCACUUCAAGGCUAAAUGCCUUUUUGUUCAGCAUCUACUUUCUUUUUAAACCCAAACGAGGAGCUAAUGCCUGUUUCAUAUACAAUGUUUGGUAUUUAUUUAUCUCAAUAUUCCAAAGUUACUUUCUUUCCAUAAGUUUUAUGUGUAUAUUAAUAAUAAAU